ACAACUAGAAGUCCGGGACAAAUCCCAGUGGGAAAGUUCGCAAGGACUACCGGAUUCUCUGACC
rnacentral:sRNA from 1 species